rnacentral:rRNA from 1 species
GACGAACGCUGGCGGCGUGCCUAAUACAUGCAAGUAGAACGCUGAAGGAGGAGCUUGCUUCUCUGGAUGAGUUGCGAACGGGUGAGUAACGCGUAGGUAACCUGCCUGGUAGCGGGGGAUAACUAUUGGAAACGAUAGCUAAUACCGCAUAACAGUAGAUAUCGCAUGAUAUCUACUUGAAAGGUGCAAUUGCAUCACUACCAGAUGGACCUGCGUUGUAUUAGCUAGUUGGUGAGGUAACGGCUCACCAAGGCGACGAUACAUAGCCGACCUGAGAGGGUGAUCGGCCACACUGGGACUGAGACACGGCCCAGACUCCUACGGGAGGCAGCAGUAGGGAAUCUUCGGCAAUGGACGGAAGUCUGACCGAGCAACGCCGCGUGAGUGAAGAAGGUUUUCGGAUCGUAAAGCUCUGUUGUAAGAGGAGAACGAGUGUGAGAGUGGAAAGUUCACACUGUGACGGUAUCUUACCAGAAAGGGACGGCUAACUACGUG